rnacentral:lncRNA from 1 species
AGAGGGCCAGAGGGGUAUGAAUCUAAAUCUUCAGAAGCGUCAAGCGACAAAGAUGAGGAUAUCAUCGGUGAACACGAAUCCGUAUCAAGGAAGUGUCUGAGGAAGACGACGGCUACAAAUCUGAAGAGAGAAACCCAAAAACGACUGUAUAAAAAGAAAAAAAGUCCUCUCUGUGUUCAAGAAGUUUCCGCAUUGUAUUAUUGGAGCUUCGGAGCAGAAGAAAGCCAACUCCAUUGAGAUAUACUUAGGAUUCAAC